GCAGCAGUGGCAGAGUCUGGUUUAAUGCACCGGUUUCGAAAACCGGCGUGUCUUUUGACACCGGAGGUUCAAAUCCUUUCUGCUGCG
rnacentral:tRNA from 2 species